rnacentral:rRNA from 1 species
AACGGGGGGGAACAAGUGUUAUUCGUAUUGAUGGGUGUAAAAUGCGCGUAGAUGGUUAUUCUUGUUUAAAGUUAAAGACUUAUUAAAAAUAAUAGGUAACUUUUUAUACAGUUUUGCUUGAGUGUCUAUAAUAAAACAGUAUUUUAAGUGUAAGAUGACAUUUUAAAAUAUUUAAAAGACUGACAUUUUCGAAGGUAGUUUUAAGAGGCAUACUGACAUUGAAGCGCUAAAGCUUAGUAGCAAAUAGG